AUUGAACGCUGGCGGCAGGCCUAACACAUGCAAGUCGAGCGAGCGGCGGACGGGUGAGUAAUGUCUGGGAAACUGCCUGAUGGAGGGGGAUAACUCCUGGAAACGGUCGCUAAUACCGCAUACCAUCAGAUGUGCCCAGGUGGGAUUAGCUAGUAGGUGGGGUAACGGCUCACCUAGGCGACGAUCCCUCGCUGGUCUGAGAGGAUGACCAGCCACACUGGAACUUAGACACGGGCCAGCAUCCUACGGGAGGCAGCAGUGGGGAAUAUUGCACCAUGGGCGCAAGCCUGAUGCAGCCAUGCCGCGUGUGUGAAGAAGGCCUUCGGGUUGUAAAGCACUUUCAGCGGGGAGGCGUUACCCGCAGAAGAAGCACCUGCUAACUCCGUGCCAGAAGCCGCGGUAAUAC
rnacentral:rRNA from 1 species